AGAGGGUGCGAGCGUUGUCCGGAAUCACUGGGCGUAAAGGGCGCGUAGGCGGCCUGAUAAGUAGGGGGUGAAAUCCUGUGGCUUAACUGCAGGGCUGCCUCCUAGACUGUUAGGCUCGAGCACGGUAGAGGCAGAUGGAAUUCCCGGUGUAGCGGUGGAAUGCGUAGAGAUCGGGAAGAACAUCGGUGGCGAAGGCGGUCUGCUGGGCCGUUGCUGACGCUGAGGCGCGACAGCGUGGGGAGCAAACAGGAUUAGAUACCCUGGUAGUCCACGCCGUAAACGAUGGACACUAGGCGUCGGGGGGAGCGACCCUCUCGGUGCCGUCGCUAACGCAGUAAGUGUCCCGCCUGGGGAGUACGGCCGCAAGGCUG
rnacentral:rRNA from 1 species